CACAGUGCUUGAGAAGCAUGGAGCCGCUAUCUGCAGCCCCUACAGUGGUGAACACUGCAGGGCCCCAGUGCAGGACAGAGGGCACCUGACAUAGGUGUGCUUAAGAUGAGAGGUUUAGGAUAAGAGUUGUGAUGGAAGAGAGCAACUGGAGCAGACACCCAACCAGGACUAGGAAGAACACAGCCUCCUUCAAGAAAGACACCAAAAUGCCUGUUGAUUUACACAAAAAUACAGACCAGGGCCAGACCUGCUUCACUACAGCCUAAAACUCACCAAAUGAAGGGUCUUACAAGUAUGGUUCACUAAUGAACUAACGUGUAACAUGUAAGCUAACAGGCAGGCACAGUGGGCAGUGUGUGCCAUACCAGAGGAACACGCUAGCAGGGUCACUCUCACACUCGGGAGGAGGUAAGAGAACAGGUAACCUCUGCUUUAAAUUCCGGAAUUCUAAUCCUUAAAAGAAUCUAAAAUCCUUGACAAGGAAUUUUGUUUUGUAAGAGGUGAACAGUCCUGGAGACAAAACAAAAUAUUUCAUCUUUCUGUCAAAGAAAACUUUGUUUACUGAACUACACUAUGUGGACUCCAUCCAAGCAGAUGUCACAUGAAAUCAUCCCGUGGGAUGGGCUCAGCUGUCAGGGACGCUCAGCUGAAGGAGCUCAGCCGGAGCUCUUCCCAGGUGCUAAGCCUGAGAACAGCAGUGCUGCACUGCAGGAAGAUGGACAGCUUUCUCACCCAACUGCCGCGUUCACCCCAAAUGCCAGCAAGUCACAGGACCCAGACUAUAGGACUCAAACAGCGUGAAGGGAUUUAUCUUGAGGUGACGCAGGCACCUCCUAGCCUUCUGGCCUCCACAUGAUCAACAAGGAACACACCUUCAAGGCAUUGAUGACAGUCUCGAUGUGGGUCUUGACAGCCUCGUGAGAGAACUCAGAGCUGGCCAGUGUGCACAUGCUCUCCAGAGCCAGGUAGCGCAGGUUUGUCUCCCGAUGCUGCAGGAACUGGCCCAGCUGGUUGCAGGCACGGACCAGGAGGUUGGGCUCACUGCAAGGAGCAGAGGACAUGGUAAGGAGGGGCUCAGGAAGGGCUGUGAGCUACAAAAGAGGACAAGGUAAGGACGGAUGCAGGGAGGAGAGGCACGAUGAGGAGAAGGUAGUAGGGUGGUGAGGAGGAGGGAGAGCAGGAGGUGCUGGAGGAGGCGGUACAUAAGGACAGAAGUAGUGAGACAGGUCCAGGAAGGAAAAGACUCAGUAAAGGGUACAUGCAGUGAGGACGCGCAGUGAGGAGGUGGGACAGUAAGAAGUGCAGCGUGAAGUGACACAGGAAGAGGUGCUGUAAAGAGGGGCGCAGUGAGGAGCAGCUGCAGUGAAGAAGGGGUGACUCUAAUGUAUCUGCAGGAUCUCCUCUACUCCACAGUAGACUCUGGAAAGCUCUGG
rnacentral:lncRNA from 1 species